GUGGCUUAUUUUGGUUGGUUGAUGAGUAAAUAUAUAAAAAAUAGUUUUUUUCCUUUUUCUUUCUUUUUGCUUUCUUUUUGGCCGAUGAAUCUCUCUCUUCUCUCUCUACGAGAAACGGCGAAAAUGUGUGAGAUUCACUCCAAUCGAGAGCGGGAGUAGGUUUGAAAAUUCGAGUAAUCCAGUAGUUGCAUGACAUCGGGUCCUUUAACGAAG
rnacentral:lncRNA from 1 species